CAUGUCAUGUUAAGCUGGAAACUUUGCC
rnacentral:piRNA from 1 species